GACGAACGCUGGCGGCGUGCCUAAUACAUGCAAGUUGAGCGCUGAAGGUUGGUACUUGUACCAACUGGAUGAGCAGCGAACGGGUGAGUAACGCGUGGGGAAUCUGCCUUUGAGCGGGGGACAACAUUUGGAAACGAAUGCUAAUACCGCAUAAAAACUUUAAACACAAGUUUUAAGUUUGAAAGAUGCAAUUGCAUCACUCAAAGAUGAUCCCGCGUUGUAUUAGCUAGUUGGUGAGGUAAAGGCUCACCGAGGCGAUGAUACAUAGCCGACCUGAGAGGGUGAUCGGCCACAUUGGGACUGAGACACGGCCCAAACGCCUACGGGAGGCAGCAGUAGGGAAUCUUCGGCAAUGGACGAAAGUCUGACCGAGCAACGCCGCGUGAGUGAAGAAGGUUUUCGGAUCGUAAAACUCUGUUGGUAGAGAAGAACGUUGGUGAGAGUGGAAAGCUCAUCAAGUGACGGUAACUACCCAGAAAGGGACGGCUAACUACGUG
rnacentral:rRNA from 1 species